rnacentral:rRNA from 1 species
UACGGAGGAUCCAAGCGUUAUCCGGAUUUAUUGGGUUUAAAGGGUGCGUAGGCGGUUUAUUAAGUCAGGGGUGAAAGACGGCAGCUUAACUGUCGCAGUGCCUUUGAUACUGAUGAACUUGAAUGUACUAGAAGUAGGCGGAAUGUGACAAGUAGCGGUGAAAUGCGUAGAUAUGUCACAGAACACCGAUUGCGAAGGCAGCUUACUAUGGUAUUAUUGACGCUGAGGCACGAAAGCGUGGGGAUCAAACAGG